CGAAAAAUCCUGAAAGCAAAUUUAUUCUUUGAAAUUGAUUUUUUGAAGAAAUCGAAGUUACUAUCGAGAUGCAGAUUCAGAAGGCAGAACCAACUAUGUAGGGCCAAAAACUUUCGGCCAAUUAGCACCCAAGCUGACAAGCAUGGAAAAUCAAUAUCUCGGGAGAAUCUUAAAUAGCAACUGGAGCCGACAUACGAUAGAAAGGUGGAGGAAAGCUAUUGCUGCACUCUCUACAGACCUAUUCUUUUCUACUAGCUUACAGUAUGGUGCUCGGCACUAGAAAAAAUUACUUUUAGGAGUAUCGGACUACAGUGCACACCCAAAUAUUGCCUUCGCAAUAUCGAAUUGGAAAAUGCGAAUGUUCCGGACCAGUGUGACAAAGCUCGACGAGGGCUCUAAACUCGAGAAGUUGUGAGAAGUCCACCACAGCAUUAUUACAAUGAGUUUUCAGGCGUAAGUGCGCUGUUCGCUUUAAUCAACAACCAAUUCAACUCAUACCCAAUUUUAGAGCUCCAAAGAAUUGAGCCCAAAGCAACCACCUCAGUUGCUUCACCUCCGUUACAGAUGCAUCGUUGGAGUAUUUUUCAGCCAAAAUCGCUAAAAUAGAUUGUAUAGUAACUUUAGAGACCAGUUUGGAUUCACAAUGAGUCUUCUCAAUGCUGAUGCGGUUCGUGAAAGUUCGCGUUUAAGCAGACGGAUUGACAGACAGGCUGGCGUGACAAAAAAAACAACUCAGCUCGUUAUUCGGAUCAUAUCGGUAUAGAUUUGUGUGAGUCUGUCUUCUGCUUCUGGUCUUUUUGUACUUUGGACCAAACGUAAUACACAACUCCAAGUUUAUAAGAGGUAUAAAUCAAGAAUCUGACAAUGAUAAAUUCCGAGAUUAAAAAAGCUUUGUGAAGUAUUUUGAACCAUUGAAGUUCAGGUCGUUUUCAAAUGUAAAUAAAUAGAAUUACAUUUCCUCUAUGUAACUUUCUAAAAAAAUUAUGAACCCAUUAAAAGCAUGUU